UACGUAGGGUGCGAGCGUUGUCCGGAAUUAUUGGGCGUAAAGAGCUCGUAGGCGGUGUGUCACGUCGUUCGUGAAAACCUGCAGCUUAACUGUGGGCGUGCGGUCGAUACGGGCAUCACUGGAGUUCGGCAGGGGAGACUGGAAUUCCUGGUGUAGCGGUGAAAUGCGUAGAUAUCAAGAGGAACACCUGAGGUGAAGACGGGUUGCUGGGCCGACACUGACGCUGAGUGCGCGAAAGCCAGGGGAGCAAACGGG
rnacentral:rRNA from 1 species